rnacentral:rRNA from 1 species
AUACGAAGGGGGCUAGCGUUGCUCGGAAUUACUGGGCGUAAAGGGAGCGUAGGCGGACUGUUUAGUCAGAGGUGAAAGCCCAGGGCUCAACCUUGGAAUUGCCUUUGAUACUGGCAGUCUUGAGUACGGAAGAGGUAUGUGGAACUCCGAGUGUAGAGGUGAAAUUCGUAGAUAUUCGGAAGAGCACCAGUGGCGAAGGCGACAUACUGGUCCGUUACUGACGCUGAGGCUCGAAAGCGUGGGGAGCAAACAGGAUUAGAAACCCGGGUAGUCC